rnacentral:lncRNA from 1 species
CUUCCAUGGAACAGAGUACCACACCUACUGCCAGCACUACCACUGAGGCUACAACCACAACAGUCACCACUUCAACUGAACAAACUACUACACCAACUGCCAGCACUACCACUGAGGCUACUACUGCAACAGCCACCACUACCAUUUCCACUGAAACUACAACUACCACAGCAGCCACCACUUCUACUGAGCAGACUACCAUACCAACUGUCAGCAGUACCACUGAGGCUACAACCACAACAGCCACCACUUCCACGGAACAGACUACCACACCAACUUCUGGCACUACCACUGAGGCUACCACAACAAUAGCCAGUACUUCAACUGAACAGACUACCACACAAACUACCAGUACUACCACUGAGGAUACCACCACAGCAGCCACCACUACAACAGAACUGCCUACCACACCAACUUCUGGCACUACCAC